rnacentral:rRNA from 1 species
GAUGAACGCUGGCGGCGUGCCUAAUACAUGCGAGUCGAGCGAACGGACGAGAAGCUUGCUCUUCUGAUGUUAGCGGCGGACGGGGGAGUAACACGUGGAUAACCUACCUAUAAGACUGGGAUAACUUCGGGAAACCGGAGCUAAUACCGGAUAAUAUUUUGAACCGCAUGGUUCAAAAGUGAAAGACGGUCUUGCUGUCACUUAUAGAUGGAUCCGCGCCUCAUUAGCUAGUUGGUAAGGUAACGGCUUACCAAGGCAACGAUGCGUAGCCGACCUGAGAGGGUGCUCGGCCACCCUGGAACUGAGACACGGUCCAGACUCCUACGGGAGGCAGCAGUAGGGAAUCUUCCGCAAUGGGCGAAAGCCUGACGGAGCAACGCCGCGUGAGUGAUGAAGGUCUUCGGAUCGUAAAACUCUGUUAUUAGGGAAGACCAUAUGUGUAAGUAACUCUGCACGUCUUGACGGUACCUAAUCAGAAAGCCACGGCUAACUACGUG